AUUGAACGCUGGCGGCAUGCUUUACACAUGCAAGUCGAACGGUAACAGGUUAAGCUGACGAGUGGCGAACGGGUGAGUAACGCAUCGGAACGUGCCCGAUCGUGGGGGAUAACGCAGCGAAAGCCGCGCUAAUACCGCAUAAGAUCCGAGGAUGAAAGCGGGGGACUUUAUAGCAAUAUGAGGCCUCGCGCGAUCGGAGCGGCCGAUGUCAGAUUAGGUAGUUGGCGGGGUAAAGGCCCACCAAGCCGACGAUCUGUAGCUGGUCUGAGAGGACGACCAGCCACACUGGGACUGAGACACGGCCCAGACUCCUACGGGAGGCAGCAGUGGGGAAUUUUGGAUAAUGAGCGCAAGCCUGAUCCAGCAAUGCCGCGUGCAGGAAGAAGGCCUUCGGGUUGUAAACUGCUUUUGUACGGAGCGAAAAGGUCUUCUCUAAUAAAGAAGGCUGAUGACGGUACCGUAAGAAUAAGCCCCGGCUAACUACGUGCCAGCCGCCGCCGUAACAC
rnacentral:rRNA from 1 species